rnacentral:rRNA from 1 species
CGCCGCUUUCGCGUUGUAGACUAAAGGGGCGUUUAUCUUUGCACGGCCCGGGUAUAGGUCCGUUGGAACGCGGCAUCAUGGAGGGUGAGAAUCCCGUCUGUGACUCGGAGAUCUUCGUGCAUGUACGUUACGCUUCCAAAGAGUCGGGUUGUUUGGGAAUGCAGCCCAAAAAUGGGUGGUAAAUUUCAUCCAAGGCUAAAUAUUGGCACGAGACCGAUAGCGAACAAGUACCGUGAGGGAAAGAUGAAAAGAACUUUGAAAAGAGAGUCAAAAAGUACGUGAAACCGUUAAAAGGGAAACGAAUGGGGCUAGCAUUUGUACGGCAGACGCAAUCAACCGACGAUGUCUGCGGUGAGGGACAGGGAAAAAAUCGUCCACGUGACUUUUUUUUCCGCUUGUCGUUUGCGGCAAAGGCAGGGGUCGCCUCGGUGCACUUGCGUCCCGUACAGGCCAACGUCGGUUCGGGCCAGGAAAUAGAAACCGCGUCCGGGAAGAAAGGAGGUGGAGCAUUAACGUUUUACUUCCUGUCCCCAUGGCGUUAUUCGGUCGUCCUGGGCUGGACCGAGGAGUAGCAGCACGAAAGAACUUGUUCUUGUCGGCCAUCAUUGCCGGGAGGGUUUUUGGGGAAAAGGCGUUUCGGUUUCGGCCGACUCGUCACCCUGCUGUCCCGAGAUCAGUGGUGUCAGCUCGACUACGUGCUUCGUGACGUUGGCAAAAUGGCCUCAUCCGACCCGUCUUGAAACACGGACCAAGGAGUCUAACAUACGCGCGAGUCUUUGGGUGGAAAGCCCGCAGGCGAAAUGAAAGUGAAAAGGCUUAGAGGAACUUUAUUGUGCCUCGACGUCCGGUGAGAUACCCUGGGCCAUUGCGGCCCGGAGGUUGCAUCAUCGACCGGUCAGAAAGGGUUUGUUUCCGUCAAAAGAGGCAUGUACCCUAUAGACCGAGAAGGAGCGUGUCUGUUGGGACCCGAAAGAUGGUGAACUAUGCCUGAACAGGGUGAAGUCUGAGGAAACUCAGAUGGAAGCUCGUAGCGAUUCUGACGUGCAAAUCGAUCGUCUGAUUUGGGUAUAGGGGCGAAAGACUAAUCGAACCAUCUAGUAGCUGGUUCCCUCCGAAGUUUCCCUCAGGAUAGCUGGAAAUUAUAACGCAGUUUUAUCAGGUAAAGCGAAUGAUUAGAGGUCUUGGGGUUGAAAUAACCUCAACCUAUUCUCAAACUUUAAAUAGGUAAGAACUCACGACUUGCUUGAUUCAGCGUUUUUCGCUUGAAGUCGUAAGGAGAAUGUAAAUUUCCAAGUGGGCCAUUUUUGGUAAGCAGAACUGGCGAUGCGGGAUGAACCGAACGCAAAGUUAAAGUGCCAAAAUUCACGCUCACCUAGAUCCCAGAAAAGGUGUUGGCUGAUAGAGACAGCAGGACGGUGGCCAUGGAAGUCGGAAUCCGCCAAGGAGUGUGUAACAACUCACCUGCCGAAUCAGCCAGCCCUGAAAAUGGAUGGCGCUCAAGCGUGAUACUUAUACUUUGCCGUUUUGGACCAGGAAGACUCUAGCAGUCGGCCAACCCUUUCCAAAACGAGUAGGAGGGCGUGGAGGUACGCAGUGAAGAAGCUUUCGGCGUGAGCCGGAGUGAAACUGCC